UUGCCCUGGUUCUCAGGCCUUCAGACUCAGGCUGGGAUGUCACCAUUGACUCCCCUGGUUCUUGGGCCUUCAGGCUUGGACUGGACCUACCCCACCAGCUUUCCUGGGCCUCCCACUUGCAGACGGCAGGUGGAGGGACUUCUCAGUCUCCAUAAUCAGAAUAGACUAGAGGAAGGAGCAGAAGCAGAGUUGGUCUGAGAAAGCAGGGCUGACGAGGGCAGGCACUUUGUGGAUUAUACACCAGGCCAAGAGUGAUAAUAACGGAUUCUUCCUGCAUCUGGCAGUCCACUCGACACGGAGGCCAUGGCACAUCCCCAGGCUUUGCAGGCGGUGUGGAGCUGCCCAACGAGGCCCCAACUCUUGAAAGACACAGGCUACCCACCCAGGGAGCAGGAAAAUGAAUAAAUACCCUGUAGGGUAAUUGGGGGCUGCUCCCGCCACAUGCUGAGGGGCACCCUAAAUGGAGUUCCCUAGCCCUCUCUCGUGCACUGCUGACACUAGGUGUUCUGUGUUUUAUGAAGCAAGUUUCCAUGACAGAUCAAGCUUCUUCAGAAGAACAGGAGUGUAAGAACACUUGAGCUAGGACAUCACAUCCAGGGCACCAUGCAGGUGUGAAAAUGAUGCUUCCCUUGGGAAAGGAGAAGACAGCGAUGAUGCCAUAAAGAAGGUAAGGUAUAUGCUGAGUCCCAAACGAACCCCCAGGAGUCCCUCCCUUUCGUCUGAGGCUGGUUUUCUGGAGCAGGUCUUUCACGGUCCUCAGGUGCACACAUUCCUGGGAAUCCGGGACCACUCGCUGGUCAGGGAGCGUCUGCAGCCCCUACUGGCAACGACCAAGUUCUCCACAAGUCCUUGUGCGCCUCUGAGUCAAGCCUUAGGGCGCUGUCCAGGUGCCAAGAACAUCGAGUCUCCACAGUAGGGAAAGGACACCCAUUAACAUAACAAGAUUAACUCGGAGGACAGGUGAGGUAACCCGUGACUUUGUGCCAGGCUGAUGCUCGUGUACUAAAAUGCUCUGCCUUGCAACAACUCCGGUGCCUCUUAAACUGGCUGGAGCUGCUUGCUUGCUUAAAUAUUUUCAGCCUUAAACAGGAAGUCCUCAGUGGCUCAACUCAGAAAGAACGCUAAAAUUUGCUUAGAGGAAAAGGUUGUUGGUUCCCAAACCAUUCUUCAAGGGCUGAAAGAGCUAAAGUCACACAGCAUUCAUAAAGCCCUUUGGGAAGUCACAAGAGAGGAGAAUAAAUAAAUGGGUGAGCCAGAGUGGAUUUUUCCCUUGCUGGUGUGUUUGAGUGUAAUUGGAAAAACCGGAACCAGCUCUCCAGACCCUGAAAACCAAAGACUGAGCCACCUGAGCCAUGGCUCUGAACUUUGCACAGUGGCCGGCUUGCCCUGUAGUUGGAGCAUCCUCCCCUCCUGGGUGAUUCCAUAUCUGCCCAGCUGACCUCCGUCAGAGCCUUUCAAAGAUGAAGGCUCUCUCCUUGGUGCACCUGCUCCUGCAUUCCUGGAAGCUCCCUUGGUCUGAUCCUCCCUGGCAAACCCAAGGGACCAAGGGAGCUUCCCAGCUCAUGUCGUUUCCACGAUAGGACAGCUUCCUCCCAAAGCUAUACCAAGGACUUGGCACACUGUUUAGGAUUCCGGCUUUUUCAUCUUGAGGAGAGCAGCAGCUUGUAAGUGGUGCCUUGCAUCAGAGGCAGGUGAUGAGUGGGGUGAGGGUCCUAGAGGUGGGUAAAACCCUUGAAAAAUGAACAACUAAUUCCUUUAAAGAAAUUGGGGCAAAGGUCCUAAAAGACAACAUCUUAAGAAACUGGAUUCAGCAGCUGUAAUUUAGCCAAGGGUAUUCCAAGUAAUUCCAAGCUCACUCGGCAGCUUGGUUUCCUCUUGCAGAGUUUCCCUUGAGAAGACAUUCCCUUCAUGAAUUGCAGGUGCUCAUCUUUCUAAACCUAUAAGGUGGAAAAAAUAGCAUCUCAACCAGAGGACGUUGAGAUAAUGCUCUCUGCCCUGACCCCUGUAUAAGAAAUGUCCACCCAACCCCUCCAUCCUUGUGGAUGCUUCUUCAUUCUAGAAGCAUUCUUUGACGUCAAGGAACAGAAAUCCACUGAAACUGGUUCUCCGCAAAGGCACGGAGGAGGAGAGGGAGGGUGGUGUAGGGCGCAGACCUCCCGCCAAGCACAGCAAGCUCACGUGCGGACUGGAGCUGGGACGCCAGGCUUCUCAGGCAGGAGGCCGCUGCUCUAUGUUCUCCCUGCCCCGCUGCGUCUCGUGGUCUGCUUCUCCUGCACGUCCCUCCCAUCCUCCUCCCUCCAGCUGCCUCCUGGGCUUCCUGUGAGGCAGAAGGAUGCUUGUGGGGAUUUUGUAAGCGAGCUUGAGAGCUGCGUCACUUGGGCUGCCUUCCGCCUCUGCCACGUCCCAGCUGUGCGACCUUAGGAAAGUGAUCACAUCCAAGUCUUGGUGUCCUCAUUUUACAAUCAAGAAAGUGACAGGUAUUACCCACCUGAGAGAGGUACCCACCUGAGAGAGAGAGGUGGCUGGCACACACAGCAUAAGUGUCAGCUGCCUCGAUUAUUGCUGUCGCUGCUGUGUCCACCCCUUCCCUCUAGUUCCAGCUUGCCGUGCCUUUGGCUUUCCACACACAAUUGCAUCCCACGUCCUCUGUGACCUUGCUUUCUGGUUUCCCUAGAGACCAUCUUGGUCUGGUUGUGUUCAGUAUUCCCUAUCAAGCUGACACUGGCGUCGCCAUGGUUCCAUCAGCUGUGGCGGGGGUGGUGGCUACAGAGAUGUGGUCACCUAAACCCUCGGCUUCAGGAGAGUCUGCUGGUAAGGGAUGAUCCUAAGGAAAUGUACUGUGGAUGAGAGACAUCCUAAAGCAUACCUACUACAUUCUUCCAUGAACUUGCAACAAAACUAAACUUUUUCAACAUUCCAUUUUGCUAUUAGGAGUCCAAUGUGUUCUGAAUGCUGUCAGUAACACUUUCAUUGUGAGGGUCUCAUGUAUCUUUUUCACAUCUUAUUUCCAUAAAUCUCUGAAUUGUGUCAGAGGUUGAUGUUGGGCCCAAAGCAUCUGUUAGCCCUAAGGAUGCAUUCUCUUCUCGGUUAAAAUCCAGGUAGUUCAAGACAGUGAGCCUGUUUCUGCUGGAUGCUUACGUGCUGUCGUGUGAUUGGUGUCAGACUCAUCCCACAGCAUUGUUUCUGUUGUUUUAAUGCUAAGAAAAAAAUCAAUAUCUUUUAUUAGUAUACUUUCUAAGUUCAAGAUCCUCCAUCUCCUCACUGGUUUCUAAUAAGUGAUUGGUAGUUGGCUGCUCCCACAUUUUCUGCUCAUUGAUCAUCAAGGAUGCUCUAACUGAGUAUCUAGCUCAGAGCUCAGCCACAGAGUUUCCCUCCAGUCUUCAUGGGAUUUCAGUGGGCUGUCCAGACACACUGUGACUGCAGCUACUCACACUGCUCUCUGCCACCCAGCUUUCUCUUGACUUCCCGACCUCAGCUAACAAACACCUUAACCUGGGACCAUGACAACAUAGAAUGUUUGCGUCGGUUCCCGUUAGAUUCACAAGCACAAAGAUGGUUAAAAGAGCAGAUACCCUUCAGCAGGUAGUUGAUUUGGUGUGAUGCCUAGGCAUGUUUUUUCAAUAUUUCAAUACUCAGGGAAUUUUAAAAUUAUUUUUAAAUUUUAUAAUUUUAAAAUUAAGAUAAUUUGCAUACAGUAAAAUUCACCCUUUUUAGCGUACAGAUCUCAGAUUUUGACAAAAGCAUGCAGUCACGUAACUGCUAUCAUAAUCAAGAUAUAGAACAAUUCCUUCACUCCCCAAAUGUCCCCCAUGCUUUAUAGCAGGCAUCUCAUUUUAGAAUGCCCCCUGGGUCUUUGUGAGGGGCAGCCGUGCUUGGGGAUCACCAAACCUUUUACAAUGGAAGAGCUACAGACCGGUCCAGGGUCACUCUGCCUGACAGCCAGGGCUAGGAUCUAGGUCACCUUCCCAGUUUUAUCUUGUGCCAACUCACAAUGCUCACUCUAAAGUAUCUUCUUUGUCCACGGUGGUUCCCCUAAGUAAAAACAAAGCUAUUAAAUAAACAAUAAGACAAAAUAACCACAAACAAACAAAUAAACCCCAAGUUAAAAAAGAACGAAAUAAAACAACCACAAUACACAAUCCAGAGAAUGCUUAAAUCAGCCUGAAUAUACUCAGAGGCAAUAGCAACACAGCAAGGAUUGACUGCACCUGCUUCCCAGCACAAAAUGCUGCUCUUUUCUUUUCUUCUUUCUCUUUUUCUCUUUUUGCUAUCUAUAUGUCCUACCCAGGGCUAAAAUACAGACAUGAUGAAUCACCCCUAAGCAAUACCCCACGACUUAACCAGCCUCUUUCCUCUUUGACUUUCCCUCUGAUGUAGACAAUGGAAGGGGCAGGCUCAGAGAAAGCACUUGCUAUAAAUAUCUCAGGGUUCCGGGCAGAUAGACCUGAUCCAAUUAUGGCCUUAUGAUUAGCCUACAAAUAAAGUGGCUUUGCCCAUUUUAGAUGAGCUUCCCAAAGAUAGAAGCCAUUUUGCUUUGAGAAGCAAACAGCCCCACCCAGGCGGGUGGGCCAAGCAAGGCCAAGGAAUUGCGAAACCCUGCAUGUUUUUAAAGAGAGAGCGCUGGAGCUCCAUGGGGGUGUGUCCACUUAUGACAGCACAGUGCAUGGGAAAGACCCAUGCUGGGGGUAAGGAGCGUCUGCUGCGUGGCUUUGCACGUGCCAGAAGCCAAAGUCAAGAAUCGCUGAAAUGUUAGGCAUGAACUCAAAAGAUAGAAUGGUGAGCAUCAGUCAUUCCUUCUAAUAGUGUGAACCCUUCAUGACAUCUAAAGCAAUUUUCCACCUAGAGAUAUUUUCUUUUCAUCUUAUCCCAUGGCUCUGUGCAGGAAGUGAUGCUCCGUGAGGGCCUCUCAGUCCCGUGGGUCUUUAGGAAUUUCACAGAUCCUCAGUCCUGAAUCUUAAGCUCUUUCCUUCCUAUUCUUUCUCCGGUCUAUUAGGCUACCAGCAUGUUGCUGAUGGGUAUAGUGCUCUUAGAAAGCCUCGGUUAGGGUCCUUUCUGUAACCUUGAACACAGAGCAGUAUUCAAUGAAAAAUUAACUUCCCAACCAGUUGCCUGGCUCUCUCUGAGUUGUAUGGCGUGGGGUUAAGUGCCCAGAUGCUGGCCCCAAACCACCAGGGUUUGAAUCCUGACUGCACUAUUUUCCUACUAGGUUAGUAGGCAAGUUACUUAAACUUUUUUGGGUCUCAGUUUCCUCUUCUGGAUAUUGGAUGCAACCGCAUUCCCUACCUCAAAGGGAUGUUGUAUGAAAAGGAAAGAGCCUAGCACAGAACGGGCACUAUUAUCUCAGGGAAACUUGGGUUAUUCUGGCCUGUCCUGACUUCCUUAGGAAAUAGCGUAUCUGCAAUAUCUCUUGCUGGGGAACAGGCCACUGAGAACCAGUAGUUACAAAGAAUUUAUGACUGAUAUUAAAUAUUUAACUUGAAAAAAGUCUUUGCAAUGUUCCACCAAGCUAUUUUAGAAUAUAUAGAAAUGAGCAAGUUGCCCAGAAUUUUAAAGAAAGUCAAUGGCUAAAGAAAUGUUCCUCUGAAUGCCCAUAUGUUUUUGCCAUUGUUCAACCUGCGAGGCCACCUCACCAUUCUCAACAUUCCUAACAAACCACAGGUGGAUUUUAGAGUGUCUGAAUUUAAAAACAGACCGUUUUAUUCAUUGUCCUUGCUGCCAUUAACUGUGCCACACAAGACAAAUGUGUUUCCCGCAUGUGCUGGUGAGGCACGUGCAUGUGAGUGCUAGAGUUCGCGCUAUGUUUAAUUUCCCUGUGGUUUCUCAGUUUUCUAUAAGUUGUAUUUCAGGAAUACAGAAAAAGCUACCUGUGUGGAAUGAAAAGCAGAAUUUCCUUAUGUUCGGGCUCUGCUCCUUCUUCAGAACUUGUUUGAGAAGAAGAGAACCAAUUAUGCUAUCAAACGCUGACAUUUCUUGAUGACAAUGUUUCUGGAAGCAUAGUGUAAGAUGACUAGCUGGAUGAGCUCUGUCUUCCCUUCUUUACCUGAGAUUUCUUGCCGGUAUCUCACAUACCGACAGCAUAAGCAGAUGCGUGGAAAGAUGCGUAAGUGUCCUACAAUGGGAGGGCCCCGGCGCUGGAGUUAAGGGAGGGGGGUUUGAAUAUCCCACUGCCGCCUGCUAUCUGCAUGACCUUGACUAAGAGACUCAGCCACUGUGAGCCUGUUCCACCAUCUGUCAAAUAAGUAUUGGCACACGGUAAGUGCUUGAAAAAUUGCAGUGUUGACCAUCAUGAAACUCCAACUCAGUCCACCAGCGUCCAGCGCCAUUGCGCAGGGACCAAGGCUUUUAACUGAGUGAGAAAACAAGCGGUGUGUAGCGAAGGCCUGCCCGAACACAACGGCCUGGCUAAAAGUAAACAAACCCUAAGCCAGAUCUUCCACAAAGAGCUCAGAGAAGGGUGAUUUGCAGCAGAGAUUGCAACAUACGAACAGACAGUAGCAAACACAGCAUAGUAAAAGUUAAUAUCCAAAUGUCUAUUCAUAAUUCCCAUCUAGAAUAAUAUCUCUUUCAGGAAGAGAAGUAACAAUUUAUUCACUAGACUGAGAUGUCUUUUAAAAAACUCAUCACUGCCUCUUCAAAGAUCAGUCGCUCGGCUUUGUCCAUUUUCACUUCACUUGUUCUCGGCAUGUGACCAGACUACAAGCUGGCUGGAGCUAGUUUUCAAGGAGCUAGUCAAACUUCCUACAUCAACAUGGAAAAGUUAAUUAAUCAUAACAGCCGUUCAGAACAUUGUGUAUGCGCCAAAUGAGAGGACUUAUUUUCCUAGUACCUUGCCAAACACCUACGUUUUCAUAGUAACCUGGUGGCUGGUACACUUGUCUGACUAUCUAUAUUCCCAACGCAAAUAUUAUCUGAAUUCCUUUAACCUGGCUGAGAAACAAAGAAGAAACAGGAAUUUUAGGACAAAGAAAUGAAUUGGUAUCGUUAUUUAGAGGCACAGGCAUCUCAGCUGAUAGAAGGGUACAAAUCAAUAUAUCUUCAGAUGAAAAAACAGGUCUACAGCUAUUACUGAUGAAUCCCAAGUAGGUAUCCAAAAAUUCAAUUCUAUAUGCCUUGUUUCAUCAAUUUUAUCUAAAGAAAAGCACACCAAUCAUGCUAUGGAAGAAUAAGAAAGUUACUUGGAGGAGAAAUCUUAUCUGUGAGCCACCACAGAAUCUUCCUAGCAUGUUACUGGGCUUCACAAAGAACGGUAAAUGCCAAAUCUGACACAUGUGGGUCAUCUAACUUUUGAUAUGGAUAUUUAAUAAGUGAAAUGAGAGAUGCACAGUCAUUAUGACUCCACAGAUGCUUGGUUGGAGGAAGUUACAGAGGUAGAGGUCCAGCAGAGCAAGCCGAGGGGGGAAGACGAACACAGACAGAGUGUUCCCUGCUCCUAAGGGAGCCCAACCCAUGUGCUAGGACACGAGGUCAUCACAGAAAUGGCAAACGAUGGGAAAGGGAGUACACCUGGUGGAGACAGUGAAAACCGGCACAAUCCCACCGCUUCACAAGGUAGCAGAAUCUUUAAAAAGUUUGUUCCCUUUACUCAGUAACCCCAUACUUAGGUAAAUUUAUAAUAAGAAUGGCUCAGUACAAAAAUCCACACACAAAAAUAUUUUUAAACAUUGUUCUAUAGCAAAGACAAAUUGGAAGCAAAUAGAAUUUCUAACAAUAUGAGAUUAGUUAAAUUAUGUCACAUCCUGAAAAGGAAUAGUACACAGCCUUGAAAAAUUAUGCUUCAGGGAAAUAUUUAUUGACUUGGGGGUAAUAGUUAUGAAAUAUGUUUAAGUAAAUAAUGUCAGAUAUAGGAGAGCAUAUACUGUAUAAUAUCAAUUUUGUAACAUCCGUAUAUAAAUAUGGAUAUGGUAGAAAAAUAUGAUUCCCCCUCCACACCCUUGAGGGGUGGGCCCUGAGGAGAACAGUUUGUUUGACUAAACUGGAUGAAGGUGAUGAUGACGAGCCAUUAAGGGGAUCCCAUUUCCCUUGUCUGAUUCCGUGAACCCUGUAAACCAGGAACAUAAAUGUCAGAAAGACUAUAUACAUGUUUUUGCAGAUACUAAAUGAAUAUAUCAGUAAGUGUCACAUUCUUAGUUCCCAAAGUAAAUACAUGAAUUAAGUUCAUAAAAUGUUUGCACAAAUGAGGCCAUAAAAGAAUAGCCCGAUGUACUUCUGACCUCAUCACCUCAUCAAAAUUAAUUUUGUACCGUAACAACAAUGUUACCUGAAAAAUGAACAAGUUCUUUAAAUCUAGGACGUCUGUUAGGGACACAAAUAAAAAGGCAACCAGGCUGAAGGAAACGCCAGGAGCGUGGGCGGCUCUUGGCAGAGACCUUUCACUUCUGUCUACAAAACUCGAGUGCCCGCUGAUCUCUGGGGCCAUCAAAAAUGGACUGUGUGUCAUGAGACCAAUCACAGCAAACACUGUGGACUGUCAUCCUGUGGAAGCGUGGAAGGCCACCUGUUCCUUGUGCAAAGGACGCACACGCGGGCUGGGAUCCGAAACCAAGAAGAGGAAGGGACUAAAUAAGAACGCUGACCCAGACAGCUUUGACUCAGCCAGUGCGGUCUUCGACAUCACGGUCCUUUGAUUGCUCAAGCUCCGGGGCCACUUGCUCAAAAUGAGACACCACAGACAAAUAGGAGGAAGCUGGGAAGACAACACGGGUUAAUCACUACUGCCCUUGGCCUUCCGAGUCACCAAUAGUCUGCCAAGAACUGUCAGGGAGCAGGAAUAUUUCUACACUAUUGACAGAGGUGUGGUGAAAACCUCAAGCUCUCAAGAAAGAAAGACUAGGGUCCCUGUGCAGCUCAGUCAGUCGUGAGUUGUUCGAGUUUGCGCAAAUCACUUAUCCUCUCUGAAUGUGUUUCCUGACACAUCAAAGAGUGAGAAUGAUAUCUACAUGGCAAGGCGUUUGUGAGGACUGGAAGAAACAAUAUAUGUAAAAUUCCCAGAGUAGUGCCAGGCCCUCAGCCAAUGCUUAAUAAAGGCCAGGUCCUUUCAACUUGCCCCCUUCUCCUGGUACAGUUCUGGUUGCUAAUUGCUUUUAAAUAGUGAGAAGGUAGAGGAGGAGGACAAAGAUCAUGAUUCUAGUGAGUUCAGACAUUAUAAAAGCCUCCCAAUGAAAUGACAGGUUAUUACAGACACUGGAGGUUUGCUAGUUGUGUCGAGGCGCCAGUUAAUAAAGUGAGUGUGUGAGUGAGCACACGUACACUCCUUUUUACAGGAAUUAUGCUGUUGGCAAGAUUGUUUAACUGCCAAAGUUUGUAUGCAUGUGUGUUGUGUUGACUUUUGAGUUCAUUUUUAUUUUGUUCAUCGAAUUAGGGAAAUAAAACCUGGAGACAAAAUUCAUAGGCGUUUAUCUAGAGAUCAAGAAAAACUUGAGACCUGUCUUCAGCAGAACUGUAUAGGAAACACCUGAGGAAAUGGCUUAAUUUUAGUUAAUUUGCAGGGAGCAAAUGGCCUACGGGAGACUGAAGGUGUGAGUCUGCGGUAUGGUCCAGUACCCGAAGCCAGCUCCGGGGUCGAAUGGUUAGAGCUGGUGCUCUCACCACCGAGGGCUGCGUUGUGUCCUGGUCAGGGAACCACACCGCCGGUCUCUUGGUCGUCAUACUGUGGCGGCUGCAUGUUGCUGUGAUGCUGAAAGCUCUGCCGUGGGUAGCAAGGCCACCAUGGGAUCAGGGGAGCUUCCAGACUGAGACAGACUAAGAAGGACCUGGCCACCGACUUCUUUUUUUUGUUUUGUACAAUGUAAAUAAAUCCAUAUUCUUUAUUUUUUU